UUGUAGGGUGCUGGCGGUGAGGCCAUGGAGAUCAGUGAGCAGGUUGGAAUGACUCCAGAGAUCAUACAGAAGCUCCAAGACAAGGCCACCGUCUUAACCACAGAGAGAAAGAAGAGAGGAAAGACUGUGCCGGAGGAGCUGGUCAGAGCAGAAGAUCUCGGCAAGUACCGCCAAGUGGCGUCGCAUGCUG